CUACUCCAUCUUUUAAAAUAUUAAUUUUUAUUAUUCUAUUUUUUAAUUUAUUUGAUUUAAGUUAGCCAACACUAUUUUAACUUUAAAUUUUUAAUAUAUCAGUUAUUUUUACGGAUUUAACUAGCAUAUUUUAUAUAAUUUUUAUAACUGUAAAUUUAUAAGGUAAGUAAUUAGCUUAAAGUUUAAAGCAAAGUGUCGUUGAUUAAUUCAAAUUAAAAAGUUGAAAGGUUGAAUAGUAAAAUUAAAAUUUUAAAAAGUUGAAUAACAGAUUCAAUAUAGUCUAUAAUUUAGAUGAAUUCUGUACAUUUUUACUUAAAAAUAUAUAAAUAGUUCUCGGCUAUCUCCGUAUUACAAAUUAGUUCCUAAAUUCUAUUUGAAAUAAAUUUUAUACUUUAAAUUUUAUCCCAUACACCCAACUUAU
rnacentral:lncRNA from 1 species